GAUGACCACUGAAAUUUCACUUGAGAUGAAUGUUA
rnacentral:guide_RNA from 1 species